rnacentral:rRNA from 1 species
UACGAAGGGGGCUAGCGUUGUUCGGAAUUACUGGGCGUAAAGCGUGCGCAGGCGGCUUCUCAAGUCAGGGGUGAAAGCCCCCAGCUCAACUGGGGAAGUGCCUCUGAUACUGGUGGCCUCGAGGGAGGUAGGGGCGUGCGGAACUUCCGGUGGAGCGGUGAAAUGCGUAGAUAUCGGAAGGAACACCGGUGGCGAAGGCGGGUCUCUGGGCCGAUACUGACGCUGAGGAGCGAAAGCGUGGGGAGCGAACAGG